UACGUAGGGGGCAAGCGUUGUCCGGAUUUACUGGGCGUAAAGCGCGCGCAGGCGGCAUGGCAAGUAAGGUGUGAAAUCUCCCUGCCUAACGGGGAGGGUGCACUUUAGACUGCCAAGCUAGAGGACGGUAGAGGGGGGUAGAAUUGCUGGUGUAGCGGUGAAAUGCGUAGAGAUCAGGAAGAACAUCGGUGGCGAAGGCGCUCUGCUGGACCAUAACUGACACUCAGGGACGAAAGCUAGGGGAGCGAAUGGG
rnacentral:rRNA from 1 species